rnacentral:sRNA from 13 species
GCCGGGCGUGGUGGCUCACGCCUGUAAUCCAAGGACUUUGGAGGCCAAGGCGGGUGGAUCACCUGAGGUCGGGAGAGAGACCAGCCUGACCAACAUGGUGAAACCCUGUCUUUA